UGGUGGGUGGGUCAUCUCUCCCUCAGGAAAGCUGAGUCAGCCAUCUUGAAUUUGCCUUGAUGCGGGGAUGUGGAACACAGUUUAAUUUGUUUUAAUUUGUUUGCAAUGCGCACUUUUAUGCUGCCCGCUUGAAACCACCACCACCUCCGUUUUUAUCAUUAGUCUUAUUGCCUUCGUUUUCUUAAGCGCCAUCUUAUCAUCACCUCUGAUUUGCAGGUCUCCUGGAUGAACUACAUUUCCCAUAAUGAAUGUUUGCCCGGGACAUUGACGGUGGAGGAAGGUCCAUGAGUUUUCGCUGUUCGCCGGUAAUGCAAGUGCGUACUGCUCAAGUGUGUGGUUGUGAGAUCAUCUCGAAAUCCUUUUAACAGUUCAGGAACAACGUGAUGUAAAUAUGAGACGGGCCCUCGUCCUUCGUGCACUUCCUGUGUACCUGCGUGAAGAUGCCUCCAAGUUUUUCAGGACCUGUAAUUCAGCAGAUGGUCCAGACCUCACUGACACUCCGGUGGCUCUCCUGACAGUUGUCACUGAUGAUACUACUGAUGCGGCCCUCUUCAGCCCUGAGAGCAUCUGUAUUGUCGUGGAAGAUGAAAUACUUGUGAGUGGUCCCACACACCUGGCUGACUCAUUUCUCCUGCUCUUUGGGUAUGUCUAUGCACUAGACCUACAGUACCCAAAGAAUCUUGAGCUUACAUUCACAUUUAUCCAAAAAGUUGUGAUGUGUCUUGAGGACAACAAACCACUGAAAGAGCGUCUACUGACACUGAAGAAUGAUUUGUUCAAUGAGUGAAUCACUCAGAAUGGACUAUUUGUUGAGCUGAGUAUUGAGGAUGUUUGUUUUUUUCCCCUCUUUACAAAUGUAAUAAUUUGCCUCUUCUACCUCAUGUUUAAUAUGUUACACUGUUUGCCUCUUCUACCUCAGAUUUAAUACAUUGAUUGUUAAUAGAUAAAUAUCACAACAUUGAAGUAUUGCCAAGCCCAAGUUUUUGUACUGUACUUGUGGGAAACGACUGUUGAAUUCAUGCACUAUACAUGUUUAAUGUUGUGUGACCUAAUGCUUACCUUGAUGUUGCCAGUUGAAGUACGGCACAGUAGAAACCAGUACUUUUAUUUGAAUGUUUUAUUUUAAAAAAGUGAGUUGCAGCCUUCAAGGUACAGUAAGUGCCAAAACGUUUUAAAUGGCUCCACAUUCUAAUAGUUGUCAUUGCUGUUGAGGAUGGAUUAUAAUUAGAAUCUUAUUGAAUUUUUAUCAUGAAGCUUUUGUGAGUUUUUAUCAUAAUGUUUACUGAAUAAUGUGAUAUGGAGACCCAAAAUACUGAAUCUACCCUCUGUAGCAAUGACCACUAUCAGAAUAUGGAACUAUUAACACUUAAUGUACUUUAAAACACAUUUUGUUUUUAUGGAGUCAUUUCCUUUUUGUUUUAAUUUAUGACAAGCACUUUGUUUUGACUGAGCUCCUUUUGAUUCGUGCCUUUUUAAAAGCACAUUGUGUUGAAUAAAAAAAAGUUAAAUUGUCA